GACGAACGCUGGCGGCGUGCUUAACACAUGCAAGUCGAACGAUGAAGCCGGAGCUUGCUCCGGUGGAUUAGUGGCGAACGGGUGAGUAACACGUGAGCAAUCAGCCCUUGACUCUGGGAUAACUGCGGGAAACUGUAGCUAAUACCGGAUACGACCCUCGGCGGCAUCGCCAGGGGGUGGAAAGAAUUUCGGUCAAGGAUGGACUCGCGGCCUAUCAGCUAGUUGGUGAGGUAACGGCUCACCAAGGCGACGACGGGUAGCCGGCCUGAGAGGGUGACCGGCCACACUGGGACUGAGACACGGCCCAGACUCCUACGGGAGGCAGCAGUGGGGAAUAUUGCACAAUGGGCGCAAGCCUGAUGCAGCAGCGCCGCGUGAGGGAUGACGGCCCUCGGGUUGUAAACCUCUUUUAGUAGGGAAGAAGCGAAAGUGACGGUGCCUGCAGAAAAAGCACCGGCUAACUACGUGCCAGCCGCCGCAGUAA
rnacentral:rRNA from 1 species